GUGGGGAAUAUUGGGCAAUGGGGGAAACCCUGACCCAGCGACGCCGCGUGAGGGAAGAAGGCCUUAGGGUCGUAAACCUCUGUUGUGUGGGAACAAGAGCGUGACGGUACCACACGAGGAAGUCCCGGCUAACUACGUGCCAGCAGCCGCGGUAAUACGUAGGGGACGAGCGUUGUCCGGAUUUACUGGGCGUAAAGGGCGCGUAGGCGGUCAUUUAAGUCAGCUGUGAAAUGGUUUGGCUUAACCGGAUCAUGCGGUUGAAACUGGAUGACUGGAGUGCUGGAGAGGCAAGUGGAAUUCCCAGUGUAGCGGUGAAAUGCGUAGAUAUUGGGAAGAACACCGGUGGCGAAGGCGACUUGCUGGCCAGCAACUGACGCUGAGGCGCGAAAGCCAGGGGAGCAAACGGGAUUAGAUACCCUAGUAGUCC
rnacentral:rRNA from 1 species